GAUGAAGAACGUAGCGAAAUGCGAUAAGUAAUGUGAAUUGCAGAAUUCAGUGAAUCAUCGAAUCUUUGAACGCACAUUGCGCCCAUUAGUAUUCUAGUGGGCAUGCCUGUUCGAGCGUCAUUUCAACCCUUAAGCCUAGCUUAGUGUUGGGAAUCUGCUGUAUUGCAGUUCCUCAAAUACAACGGCGGAUCUGUAACAUCCUCUGAGCGUAGUAAAUUUUUAUCUCGCUUUUGUUAGGUGUUGCAGCUCUCAGCCGCUAAACCCCCCAAUUUUUGUGGUUGACCUCGGAUCAGGUAGGAAUCCCCGCUGAACUUAAGCAUAUCAUAAGCGGAGGA
rnacentral:misc_RNA from 1 species